AUUGAACGCUGGCGGUAUGCUUAACACAUGCAAGUCGAACGGUAACAGGCCUUCGGGCGCUGACGAGUGGCGGACGGGUGAGUAACGCGUAGGAAUCUGCCUUAUAGUGGGGGACAACGUGGGGAAACUCACGCUAAUACCGCAUACGCCCUGAGGGGGGAAAGCGGGGGACCCUAAAUAGAGCGCACUGGGGAGUGCGUUGUAUUUAGGGCCUCGCGCAAUAGGAGCGGCCGAUGUCGGAUUAGCUAGUUGGUGAGGUAAAGGCUUACCAAGGCGACGAUCCGUAGCUGGUCUGAGAGGAUGAUCAGCCACACUGGGACUGAGACACGGCCCAGACUCCUACGGGAGGCAGCAGUGGGGAAUUUUGGACAAUGGGGGGCAACCCUGAUCCAGCCAUGCCGCGUGAGUGAAGAAGGCCUCGGUGUAAG
rnacentral:rRNA from 1 species